rnacentral:lncRNA from 1 species
AUUGCACUGAUUGGACUGGCUGUCAUGGGCCAGAACUUAAUUUUGAACAUGAAUGAUCAUGGGUUUGUGGUCUGUGCUUUCAAUAGGACCGUCUCCAAAGUUGAUGACUUCUUGGCCAAGGAGGCGAAAGGAACCAAAGUGAUUGGUGCUAAGUCCUUAAAGGACAUGGUCUCCAAGCUGAAGAAGCCCCGCCGGGUCAUACUGCUCGUGAAGGCUGGGCAAGCAGUGGAUGAUUUCAUCGAGAAACUAGUAAGGCCAGCUCCGUUCUCAGAUGCCGCUGACAACUCAGAGCUUGUGUCCGUCCCUCCCUCUCCCUGUCUCACUUCUGCCAUGUUGAUUUUCACUUUCUGGGUACAAAGUGACCCGCUCUGAUAAAAUGCUUAAAUGUUUC